rnacentral:rRNA from 1 species
ACGCACGCUGGCGGCGUGCUUAACACAUGCAAGUCGAACGGAAAGGCCCUGCUUGCAGGGUCCUCGAGUGGCGAACGGGUGAGUAACACGUGGGUGAUCUGCCCUGCACUUCGGGAUAAGCUUGGGAAACUGGGUCUAAUACCGGAUAGGAACCAUCUUUAGUGUGGUGGUUGGAAAGUUUUUUCGGUGUAGGAUGAGCUCGCGGCCUAUCAGCUUGUUGGUGGGGUAAUGGCCUACCAAGGCGGCGACGGGUAGCCGGCCUGAGAGGGUGUACGGCCACAUUGGGACUGAGAUACGGACCAGACUCCUACGGGAGGCAGCAGUGGGGAAUAUUGCACAAUGGGCGCAAGCCUGAUGCAGCGACGCCGCGUGGGGGAUGAAGGCCUUCGGGUUGUAAACUCCUUUCGCUAGGGACGAAGCGUUGUUGUGACGGUACCUAGAGAAGAAGCACCGGCUAACUACGUG